GUCUUUUGCCCAUUUCUUCACUGGAUUAUUUGUUUUUUGGCACAUUGGGCUCAGAAGACUUCAAGAAGAAGACAUCUACUGAAAAACUCUCACCUAGAAGAUAAUCUGGAAAUAUUUGUCUAGAUACAUUGACACCUAUAGGAGCCAGCGUGGAAUGCUCAGCACCUACCUUGCUAACAACUUGCCUUGCCCCUGCAUUCUGCUGUACUGCCUCACUCCACAGGAGUUCCUCCAAAGUGGAUCCACAAGGGUCUCAUUGCACAAACAGCCUCAACAGGGGCCAAUACCACUCCAAAGUGACUCUUGCCCUGGGGGAAGGAGAAGAUGACCACACACAGCAGUUCAAGGGCAGCCCCAGCAGGGUGCUGUGGGCACACAUCCAAUCUGACUGCCCCACCAACCAACAGAAACCUCAUAGGGGCAGCACAAAGAGAGUCCAGUAGUUCAGGGUCACUGCAGCCCCAGCAGAAGGCUGGAGUAGACGUCUCUCACUGCUGACCCUGCCCACCAACGAAAGCCUCUUGGGGACAACAUAGGGAGAGCCCUGUAGUUCAGUAUAACCACGGUUCCAGCAAAUGGGCUAAGGCAAGGAUCCAGCUGACCCAACUCAAGCCCAGACUGGCUCCUUAACAGCACAGGGACCAAACCCUGAUGACCAUGGGCAAAGAGGGCCAUUGCAGCCAACUGGACUGAAGGCACAUGUGGCUCAACCGCAACAGUGGGGCACAUGCAACACACGUAGGAGACACCUCUGAAGCACCAGGUUCUAGUGAAGAGAAAACCAAAAGCCCAGAGAGAAGAAUCUUGAAAUUAAAAAUACACUAGAGUAAAUAAAUAGUAGACUGGAGGAAGCAGAAGAACAGAGAAGCAAGCUAGAAGACAGUAAUGGAGAGCAACCAACCUGAACAGGAAAAAGAAAAAAAAAA